UUGAAUCUUAUAUUCCAACCAAAUGAACAAAACAAUAUAAUCUCAUAUUUUACCUAUAAUCUUACAUUCCCCUAAUCCUAUUACGAAACAUAAUUUAAUAUUCAUUGAACAAAAUGCAAUUAAAUUAUUUCUUUGGAAAUGCACUAUACAUAUAUUAUAUACAACACCAUCAACGAUGACGAUUAAACAAGUAAAUCAAAUAAUACUUUUUGGGGGGCAUUUUACCUAUAAGAAAGCUUAAGGCUUGUAAUGGCCCAUUUUUGCCUGGGCUUACACCAAGACCAAAACCAAAAUAAAACAAAAAAAUAAUAAAAAUCCAAAAUUAAAAGUCCAAUACAAAUAUUUGAGCCAAAAUAAAAUAAACUUAUUUUCUAACCAAAUACUCCAAGACUCUUUAACCCAAUCACAUAAUAUUUGACCCAAAUUCUAAAUCUCCAAAUCCCAAUAAAAUUGGCCUAAAUAAGCCCAAAACCCGAGGCCCAAUACACCCAAAAUUAUUUCAGUAUUUUGUGAAUGACAAGAGUAUUCUGGAACAAGCCAGAAUAGCACCAAAAAUGUGGCCUCACACGAGAGUCUUCACACUCGGCCUCCACGUCUUCAGGUCAUCUCUUCCGUACAGAUGAUUCUGCAAAAAGGAAUACACUAGAAGGAGCCAAUAACAGAUUUCACAGCAGAUGACAGUAGAAAAAUAGGAUUUUUUAGAUUUUAUUUAUUUUGAAAAUAUGGCUAUAAAAGCCAGUGAUGUAAUCCACCAAUUUUUUACGGGCUGUACGCAUACUACACAUUCAUAUCAAAUAUUCAAUCAAGCAAAAAAGUAUUGACAGGUGAUUUUCCAGUUUUUUUGUCUUCCUCUCUUUAUUUCAAGCUGUGAUUUUCGGCUGCAAAGGGGGAUAUGUUUUGGGAAAAAUACAGAGAACAAAGGGCCUUAAAUGGCACCAUUUUGAAACGGCACCGUGUCAGGAAAAUAGGGGGGUCCGCACUUUCGCCCGAUUGGAGACCCGACUUCACCCAUGUGCGCCUAAGAUGGUUUAUUUGCGCAUCAGACCCCUUCUCCUUGCGUCGCAUCAGAAUCUGCUCCCCUUUGCGCUUAAAUUGCUUUAUUUUCUGUUUUUAAAUUGUUCCUCAGAUUUGUACUACUUGGCAUUUUAGUCCCGAUUUCCAUGCAAUGUUUUAAGAUUGGGAAUAAUUUCUAGUAUGGUCCCUGUGAAAUCAAAUGUGUCAUAUAUGAGUCUUUAUUUCAUUUGAUUUGCAAGAUUUGUGUUAUAAUUUUAAAUUAGAUUAUUUAUUUGCCUGUACAUGUUGAACUAAUUUGUUGAUAUGUUUAUUCUUUUUCUUUUUGGUCAUUUAUAUUAUUUGUAAUGUAUAUAUCAAUUGCGUUAUUUGUAUUUUUUGUUAUUUAUUUGUUGUAAUUUGGAGAUGGUUGUACAUUAUUUUAUGUAAUAUUUUAUGUGUUAUUAUAUAUGUAUAUAUUUCAUAAAAAUUAGUUUAUUAACAUUAAAUUAUUAUGCAUAUAUUUAACUAUCUUUUGUCUAUGUGAUAUCUAUGUAUUUGUAUUUUAAAAUAAAAUCAUGUGUUAUAUAUAUUAAUUAAAUUUUAACCAUACAUAUACAAAAAAAAUUAUUGGUAUAUAUAUAAUUUAAAUACGUUUUUAAACAUUAUUAUUUUUAUACAUAUAAUUUCUUUUAGAUUUACUCGCAUGUCUUUCUUAUUUAAAAAUAUCACGAAUUUUGUAUUAUUUAAAUUAUUAUUAAUAAACAUAUAUUUUGUAUUUAUAUUUAAUUUGCAUUUAUUAUUAAAGCUUUGAUAUCUUUAUAGAUUUUAAUAAACUUGUGAUUAAUUGUUUUUUAUUAUGUAUGUAAUUUAUAAUGAAAUUAAGUUAACUUUAUAAUUCAUUUUCUAAUCAAAGGAUAUUUUGACGUAUAAUUCUUUCUAACAUUUUUUUUCCAUAUGUAUAGGGCAUAUUUUAAAUUAUUUUUACUAUAGAAUAUGUUAUUAUUUUCAAAUAAUUUUAUGUAAAUAUUUUUUUAUGUAUAUAUAUCUUCUUUUAAAAUUAUUGAUGUGUAUAAUAUUUAAAAAAAACCCUUUUAAAUCAUGUAAUUUAUUGUACUUCAUAUUUUCCUUAUGUUUUUUGUUACUUAUAUAGUUUAUAUAUUUACUUCAUUUUUCAUACAUUAUUAAUUUUAUUUUUUAUAAUAAUUAUACUCAAUGUUAUUUGUAUAUAAAGGUUUCAUAAAUUGACUUUGUAUAUUAUUUUAUAUCAUGUAUUCUUAUUCCUUCAUAUUUAAUACAUUAUUUAAAUUAUCUUGUGAAUUAUCAAUUUUUGAAUAAAUUUGUGUUUUAAAUAUUUUAUACAUAAUUUGAUUUGAACUUUGAAAUUUAUAAUAACUAUUUCAAUAAAUAUAUAUCCCAAGUUUUAUGCAAAUGUGUCAACUUAUAUAUGUUAUAUAAUUCUUCAUUUUGUUUCAUACAUAUUUUGUACAUCAUUUUAUUUUGUGUUAUGAUUAUGUAUGAUAUUUUAUAUUAAUUAUUCAUUAUCCAUGCUUAAAGAUUUUGUUUUUUUACAAUGAUUGUUAGGUAAGGUUAUUUGUAUUUUGAGUAUAUUGUUUCAUAUGUUUUUUUUCAAUGUAUUAAAUAUUUCAUCAAUUUUAAAAUGAGUAAACAUGUUUUUAAGCGGAUUUCUAAGUUUUUUGUUAUUCAAAAUUUUGAAAUAAGGUAAUAUCUAGUGUUUGGGGAAUUUGGGAGAGUCGUGCUCAAUCGUAAUGGGUAUGACUUUCUCGGAUAACCAAAUAUUUAGAUAACCUCUUUUAUAAUUUUUAAUUUUUCAAAAGUCGAAAAUUGAUCGCAUCUUAAAGGUAUAAGGGAUCAUAUCCAAUCGUACUGGGUAUGAAACCGCAUAUCUUUGAAACAAGAGAUUUUUGAUCACCAAUUUGAGCUAUUCAAACAUUUUUUAUAUACUUCGGAAAAUCUUUUUUAAAAUUUUUCAAGGACAGCUUCAAAUCAAUUUGGUACCAGUUUUUGGGCGUAAUGAGGGUGCUAACCCUUCCUCAUAUGUAACCGACUCCCGAACCCUUUUUUUUAGCCAAACCAAAUUUAUUUUUUCAUUAAAUAAAGCAUUUUAAUAGGUGGUCCAAUCACACCUAAAUCAAAAGAUUGGUGGCGACUCCACACUCGUUUUCAAAAGUCGACCCCCAUUGCUUUCAAAAUAAAAAGGGUUUCGACAGCUUGGCGACUCCACUGGGGAUUGAACAAAGAGAGUCAGGCCAUAAAAUUGAUUGUUUGCUAUCCUUUUAAUUGAAAAUUUGUUUUGAAAAAAUAUAUGAUCCUUUUAAUUGCAUUUGCUUGUGUGAUGGUUGUGUUUCGAGCUUGUUUAAUAAAUAUGGCAUUACAUUGCAUGACCGUUGUGGUUAUACCUAUUAAGUGGAGGUAAGAAACUAUGCUUUCGUGAUGUUUUCACCUUCGUAUAGGCUAGUGGAUUACUUCCGGGAUACAUCCGUACCUAUGAUACCGUGAGAUUUUCAUCUCCGCAUGGUCAUAGGGAAAUCUAUUCCUCUGAACCGAACUCGAUCUAUAUGAGCCUAUAAUGGGUGAGGAUUAAGGAAUCUGCAGGUUCGAGUACCUUACACUAGAACCGAGCUUCAUAUAGUGAACCUUAAGAACUAUCCUUAGGUAGAGCCGCGUUGAACCUUAGUUAUUACCCAUUUGUGUGUUAUGAUUAUUUUUGUUGUUAUACUUGUGUUUUAUUGCGCAUAUUUGAUACUAACUUGUGCUUUGUUUUGACUGUGUUUUGCAUGACAUUGCAUACUAAAGGAGGUGUUGGUUCGUAUUCGAUUGCUAAGUUAGAAAGUUUAACAUGGAGAAUGAAUUUCUUAGUAAAGUUGAGGAUAAUGCGGCCGUCCGUGCAUGGUCCGAGAAGUUAAAAACUGAGAAAGGGGAUAGCCUGACAGAGGGAUAUACAUCAGAGUUGCAGAAUUUUACCCGCAUCAUUGUGACACAGAACGAGCUGCAGGAGUUGAAGGAUAUAUGGACUAGUUGGGAUGAGGGCACUAAACAGUUGAAGGAUAUACCGACUCCCGAACCCCUUUUUUUUUUACCCAAACCAAAUUUAUUUUUUUCAUUAAAUAAAACAUUUUAAUAGGUGGUUCAAUCACACCUAAAUCAAAAGAUUGGCGGCGACUCCACACUCGUUUUCAAAAAUCAACCCCCAUUGCUUUCAAAAUAAAAAGGGUUUCGACAGCUAUAUUUAAUAUGGAAAAUGGAGAGAAUAAGGAUGAAAAACUUUUGGAUCUAAUAGAUAAGUACAAAGUAAGAAAAUAGUUAAUGAAUCUUAAGUCUUAAGCAUUCAACAAACAAACAAAUCAUCUUUAUAAUAAUUCUAUCAAAUUUAACAAUAAGCAGAAGCAAAUUCUUUGACGUGACUUGGAACCCUAUUAAUUUGCAUGAUUCAUUAGCAUACACAUGUGAACAAAAAUUAAAUUUACAACCUUUAAGCCAUUGUACAUGUCAAAUCAGAGAAGUUAGAAAUUUAUUUUUGAUAGGUGAAAAUUAAAUUAUAAAAUUUUAAAGAGUUUAAAGUACCAUGUAUAUGUUUAUUAGUUUAAAAUUUUAAAUGGGUUAAAUUAAAAAAAAAUUUGAGGUGAAAGUACAUUUUUAUUAUUAAAUUAAUUGAAAAUUUUAAAAAUUUUAAAAGGUUAAAUUGAUAAUUUUUCAUUUUAAGAGGAGACGGCACCGUCUGUGUGUCAAACUCUUGCAAUAAAUGCGAAUUUGAAAAUUUGACUUUUAUAGGUAUAUAUAUUCAGUUUAGGUGAUUUUUUAAAAAGAAAAGUUUAAUUAAAGUGUUUAAAAUUUAAUAAAAGUAAUGUGUUGAAAGGAAAUUAAUUUUGUGGAAUGGUAAAUAAACAAUCCUUAACCAAUGUUGCUGGGACAGUGUAAAUAAGCCCUGGUAAUAUUAUUCAUUAAAUUCAUGUACUGAAAAAGUGAUUGAGAUUUAUUUGUAGGAGUUUAGACAUAGACCAAGAACUUGUCGUAACCUAAUAUUAUUUAAUGUUGUCAACUUUACUUUUAUCUUUAAGUCCUAAACCCCAAAACUGUAAAAAUAAAAACAGAAACAUUCAAGUGUAAGCUAUAUAAUUAAGAGUUUUCCUUAAUCAUUAGAACAGUUGUGAAUAAUUCAUAAAUUUUAAGACUAUCAUAAUAUCCUAGUUGAACUGUACAACACUAGUGUUUUUUCCAAACUUGGAUUGAGUAGUAAAGAACAAGUCAUCUGUUUUAGUUCUUACAAACUCAGCUGAGCUGCCAUUAGACAGUGACAAUACAACAUUGUUGAUUCCUUCUUCUGUUAAGACUUACCAACAUCCGAUUGUUUAUUUUGGUAAGUUCAGGUCUUUCACAAUUCAACCUAUCUUGAUUAAAACUACAAAAAUACUAUUUUCUUUAAAUUUAUUUAUGUAAAUAUAUAUAUUUAUUUUAUUUUUAAAAAAUAGUAAAAUUAAUACAAACUUGGGUAAAGAAUUUAAAAUGAUUUUCGACUGAGGUUUAGUCCAUCAACAUUAUUUUUUUUCCUUUAAAAAUAAAUAUUUACAUACAAUAUUUUUAAGGGUAAAUUUUACAAACAACACUCAACUUUGGAGUAGCUAACAAAAGAGUCACUUAGAUUUCAAUUCAGUCUCUCAACUUUUGAAAAAUAACAAAAUAAUCACCAUUUACCAUUUUUCGUUACAAAUGUAACAGAGGUAUAAUUUUCCGUUAAAGACUUCCAUUUUCUAUCCUCCUCCCCCCUCCCUCUUCUCCACCAUCCCUCCUCCUACCCCCACCAAUAAAAAUCAAGUCAUGUAUUGUUCAUGAGUCAAGUCAAAUCAAGUUCGAAACAAUCUUAUGUGUAAUAUUAGUAUCAUGUAUAGUUGUCCAAGUCCAACUUGAUCGGAAAUAAGAAUCUCAAAUUUUACUCCAUCUUGUCCAUAUUUGAAAUGACUAAUCCAAGACCAUCCAGUUCCAUUCAUAUUAUUUCUUUACUUUGGAAAUGUAAUUAUUUUUGUUUAAUAUUUAGUAAUUAUAUAUAUUACUACCCUUAUAUAUUUUUCUUUUAUUAAAUCUUUUUUAUAAUCUUUUAUUUAAUCUAAAUAUACACAACUUAACAUUUUUUAAUAUUUAAAUUAUAAUAUAAUAUAUUUAUUAUUAUAUAAUAUAAAUUGCAUAAUAUAUAAAAUAAAAUAAAGAUAACAUAUUAUAAACUUGAAAAGGAAUGGAGUUUUUAUCGAAUGUUGGAUAUUAGAACUUAAGUCUAAUCUAUAUUUUAAACAAAUCUUUCUUCUUCUUCUUCUUCUUCUUCUUCUUCUUCUUCUUCUUAUUUCACCAAAAUUUACUUUUUAAAUAUAAUAUCUUUACUUAAAUUCUCUCAAAUUUCGAGCAAAGCUUGGGACUUAGAUAAGGCUGUAAAUUAAAAAAGCGUUGAUGAAUAGUUCAUUAAAAGUUCAUUUUUUUUUUCGUUUAUAAAUAAAUGAAGGGAAAUGAUUGUAUUAAACAAGGACGUCAUGCUAUAUGUGUCCAUUUUUCAUAAUUUAAUGUCACAUCAACAUUUUCAUCCUGAACAAGACUAAAUCCAAAUGAAAAUCUUAAAAUUCAAGAUGAAAUUAUUGAUGUGACAUUAAAAUAUUGGAAAUGGAUAGUAUCCCUAUUUCAUACAAUUCUUUCUCUAUAAAUGAAAAUGAACACGAUUUUGAGGCUCAUUUAUUAAAUGAACCGUACACAAAUAAAAUUUGUUAAGUUCAUUUAUGUUUAUAAUCAAGCUCGUUUAUGUUCGUUUAUAGCUCGUUUUUUAUUCCAUUAGCAUAUAUGUUAAUAAAAUUAUUAUGACUUGUAUGUUUUUUUAAUUUAUAAUACAAUUCUUAAUAUUAAUAUUUAACUAUUUUAUAUCUAAAAUAUAAAUAUGUUUAUUUAACUUAAAUAAAUGAAUAUAAAUAAAAAUUUUAAAAUUCUUAAAUAGCACAAAUAAAUUAAAAAAAAACAACAAACAUUAACAAAAAAAAAAAUGAUGGACCGCCCUAGACUUGAAUAAGAACCUGAGUUAUGAAAAUGUGUAUGGUAAGGGCAGUUUAAAUUGAAAACGUCAACGUAAAACUUUCAAUCUGGAAGGUUUGACUUUUAUAAACCAAACUAAAAGUAAUGAUUAUUUAAGCGUCAACACCUCACACUCUAUCCCAUAUAUUAAACCGCAUUCAAUUAGUUGUCGGCUAAGUGGGACCCCCAGUACGUGUCGAUCAUUGACAUGGUUUAUCAGUUCUGCGGAUAAAUUGAUUUUCGUCUUGAUAACAUUUUAAAUAUAUAAAUGUCUUGGGCGUUUGACAGCUGUUCCUUACUUUGCAUACAAAACAAUAUCCAACGGUGGGAAAACAAAACAAAAGAUCAAAUUUACCAUAACAAAAGCAACUACUGAUAAGUUGUCCCUUACCCUGUGGGCUCCAUUUAUUACCUAACAACUCCAAGCAUGUGGCACCUGUCCUAUUUCAGUCAAUACACACUAUAUCUAUAUAUAAUUAACUUUUUCUAUAAUAUUAUACUCUCUUGUGAUACAUUAGUUUAUUAUAAAAUUAAUUUUUAUUUUUUAAUAAUUUUAUUUUUUAUUAAAUUAAUUCUUUAUAACAAUCUAUUCUCUUAAAAUUUAUUUUCACGUCAAAUGAAAAUGAUACAUUUUAAUUAAAUUAUUAUUUCAAUAAAAUAUUUAAAUUUUAUAUAAAAAUAUAUUAAUUAUAUUUUAUUAAAUGGAUAUUAUUUUUAAUAAAUAAAAUUACAUUUAUCAAUUUUAUUAAAGAUGCAAUCUAAAUCUCACUAAUUGAUAUUAUUAUUAUUAUUAAUUAUUAUUUUUUAGUUUAAAUAUUUUAAAAAUUAAUAUAUGAUCUAAAUCUCAAAUGUUAUUAUAGGUGUAUAAUAAUCACAUCUCUAUAACAUAAAAGAUUUUGGCAAACAAAUAGAGUUAUUAUAGAGAGGAUUGAUUGUACUAAUAAAUAAAAUUAAGUUUAGUUUGGUUUGACUUUUUUUAAUAUUUUGAAUUAUUUGUGAUAAUUUGGUUUAUUUUGAUUUUUCAUAUCAAUUUUGAGUUUUAUUUUUUGAACUUUAUUUUGACACAAUGUGUUUUAUUUUAUGAAUUUUAGAUUAUUUGAUAAAUUUUUAGAAUUAUUUUUAUAGAUAUUUCUAAAAUAUAAAAUUUCAAGUAAAGAAAGAGUAAAUCUUAUAUAUAUAUUUAAAAAAUAUAUAUUUUUAUAUAGUAUUUUAAUUUACUUUUAUUAAAUAUAAAUUUACAUAAAAAUAAAAUAAAUUAUAAAUUAAAUAAAAAAUAGAGUUGGAUUAAUUUCAUUUUAAAUUUGUGAAUAAAAAAUUGUUCAAACAACAUGGUUGGAAUCAAUUUUUAAUUUCUUGAUUUUUUUUUUCUCAAACCUACUAGUAAAUACUAGUAUUCUAAUAGCUAAUUAGUUUCAACAUGGUCCGAGUCCGUGUUAGGAAUUUUGUAAAACAAGUCUAUUUCAUUCAAAUUAAUAUACUUAAAAAAUAAAAUAAGUUUUUGAGUCUUACGGAACACUCAAUAGUCUAAAUAAGAAAAUUAUGUACCAUUUUCAUCAGCUUAAACACAUGUAAUAAAAGGUAAAUUUUCUAAGAUUGCUUAAACAAUAGUGCGAUACAAAGGAAAACUGGCAACAUUGACCUCAAUAAAAGAAAGCAUAAAAUCCGAACAUCAAAAUGCACAACAUAGUUGCUACUAAGAUCCCCCAUAUCAAAGUUAAGAAGCAAGCUAAAAUCACUAUCCUUAAUAGUCGGAGCAUUGACACAUCAAAGUCAUUCAACAAAGUCCUGUAAUUAUGCGUGAGAGAAUCAAACAAUUUUUUCUAAAGAGAGCAACAAAAGAUGCAUCCAACCUAAUGAUAAGGUCUGUAAUAUGCAUGAGUUCCUAUUACUCGGUAAUCAUAGCAGUGGCAUGGCAUGUUUUAUAACCUUGUGGGAACCAGCAAUCCAUUUUUGGUUAUGAUCACAAAUUAUAAUCCCAGCACUUGCUAAAGUCAAAAUAGCAAUCACAUAACUAUUACAGUUCAAUUUAAGCCAUUCGGUUUCCAGGGGAGACCAUAUCAUUUGAAUGAAAGUAGGAUGGAUGGCAACCUUAAUCUUAUUAGAUGGUUUUUGAAACGAUAAGGUUGAGUUAGUUAACUAACUUGAAAUAUCAUUAACUGAAUUAAUCGACCCGAAAUACUAUUAAUUGAAUUAACUGAUCCUUUAAAAUUUUUAACCGUUAACCGAACUGAAAUUUUUUCGAUUAAUUCAAUCAGUUAACUAAAUUAACCGAAAAUUAUAUAUUUUUUAUUUUUUGUUAAAAUAAAUAUAAAAAUUAAUUGAAUUACACAAAUUACAAGAAGGAAAAAAUAAAAAAGGGCUCAUCUAACCCAAAAAAUGACAGCAUUUACCAUCUUUUUCCUAGACUCUACUUUUGUGUCUGACACUAAUAAUUCAUAAGCAACUUGAAACAAUUUUCGCAUUGAUUUUACCAAAAAUAAAUAUAUUAAGAAACUCAUUUGUCUCAGCACAUUUUCACCCAAUAUAUAUUAGUAUUAAAUCAUUACAUAAUUAAAAACAUUACAUAAGUCUUAAAAUUUACACAUAAUUAAAAUGUAAGUAUUUUAUAUUCUCUAUUUGUAUCCAUUUCUUCUCUAAAAAAAAUCUCCAUUUGCAUUAUACCUAUAAAAAACAUGUACAAAAAUGUAAGCCAUUUGUAUCUAUAAAAAAAACAUGUACAAAAAAUUAGCAUAUAAUAGAAAUAUACGCAUUUAAAAAAAUUAAAUAAUAUAAAAAAAUGAAUAGAUUGUAAGUUAACAAGAAUAAGAUAGUAAGCAUAUCCUUCAACUCACGAAAGCUCAUGAAUUUAGGGUAGGCUCUGAUGUGUUCCAAUAAAAGUCUAAACAUUGAAUCAAUUAAAUAAGUAGGAGUGAUAUGGUAAAAAAAUUGAAACUAUUAAAAUAAAACAAUAAAUAUACCAUUUUCAAUCAUGUCAAGCUCUUGGAUUUGUUCUUCAAUCUUUUUUAUGUCUUCUUGUGAUGAUGAUUUUCGAAUCCAAUCUUGAGUACACACAAGAGCUUGUACAAUUUUAGGAGUUAAAGAACUCCUAUAUUGAUCAAGCACACGUCCUCUGGUGCUAAAUGCAGACUCUGAAGCAACCGUAGAAACCAGUAUAGCUAACACAUCUCUUGCCAUUUUUGAAAGAGUGGGAAAUCUAGGGCUGUUCACUUUCCAUCACAAUAAAAUAUCAAAAUCUUCAACAAAAUCCUCAUUAGCCUCAGCUAGAUAUUUAUCCAACUCAAAUGUUUUAUCCUCACCACCAAUUUCCAGCUCAUGUUUUUUAUACAAAACUUGCAUUCGUCUUUUAAUUUUUUGUUGUGGUUUACCGAGAGAACAUGUGUUGGCACACUCGAUUGGCUACAAGUACUAUGAAGUGAAGGCUUAUAUUCAUCAAACAAUUCAUACAAAUAUUCCUUCAAUUUUUGCAUCAUUUCAUAAGCUUUUUCAGAACUAGACAUUUCACUAAGUGCAAAUUCAAGAUACUUUAGUUUUUUGUCUAGGAUCUAAAACACAAGCAACAAACAUAAGCAAAUUCAUCUUAUCAAUAUCACCCCAAUACUUACCAUACUUCUCUUUCAUCUUGAUGGCCAUAACAUUGAAAUCAACAUUACCAUUUAAUUAAGCAUCUUGUAAAAUAAUAUCAAUUUUAGAAAGCUUGUCAAAAAAAUUAUUAGACGUGACAUAUGAAGUGUCAGAUAUACGCAAAGUGGCUUUAUAAAAGUGUUCCAAGAAAUCCCUCAAGUUUCUAACAUUAGCCCAAUCAUCCACACUAAGCCAACCUUCUCCCCUUUCAAGUUCAGCCCUAAAGUUUGUAUCUUGCUCUCAAAUCUCUCAAAAGCUCUUUUAAAGUUCUGAGCAGUGUCUAACAUUAAGUAGGUCGAGUUCCACCUAGUACAAACAUCAAGACACAACAUCUUUUUGCACUCUAUCUUUUCCACUACAACACACUCCUUAAACUUUUGUAAUAUUGCUGGAGAUUGUCUCACAUAUCUAAAAGCCCCCUUAACACAUUCAACAGAUUUAUUCAUUUCCUUUAAGCCUUCAACAACAAUAAAAUUCACAAUGUGUGCCAUGCAUCUCAUAUGAAGAUAUUUACCAUUUUGAAUUAAACCCCCUCGAGGGUUAAACUUCUUUCUCAAAUAACCAAUAGCAACAUCAUUUGAACUUGCAUUAUCAAUAGUAACAGUAAACAACUUAUUAAUCCCUCAAUUCAACAAGCAUUUCUCAAUCACCAUUCCAAUGGACUCACCCUUAUCACUAGAAAUUGGACAAAAGUUUAAAUUUUUUUAUUCAAUUUCCAAUUGUUAUCAAUAAAGUGAGGAGUGAUACACAAAUAAUUAACUCUUUGCAAAGAAGUCCAUGUGUCAGUAGUUAAGCAAACUCAAGAACAAGAACUUCUCAAAAGUUGUUUUAUUUUGCCCCUUUCAUCUAAAUACAAUUGAUAAACAUCCUUAGUCAUAGUAGUUCGUGACGGAAUAUGAAACCUAGGACAUGCCACAAACAUAAAUUUCUUAAAGCCUUCACUUUCAACAAACUUGAAAGGUAAUUCAUCAAUCACAAUCAUUUGUGCUAAUCCUUUCUUCUUGAUCAAAUCUCCAAGUUAAAAGAUGCCCUUCCCCCCUUCACUCCAUUUCUAGGUAAAACUAGUUGUCCUUGACUAGUGUCAACGACAUUACUAGGAUUUUUCUUACAUGAACCAAUAUGAUAUUUCAAUGACCUUGUACCUUUUUUUUUUCAUAUCACAACAAAAUUCUUUUUGACAAUAAUUACAUUUAGCCUUACUUGCACCCUCACUAUUCAUAAUCUUAGUGAAGUGAGACUGAACUUCUGACCUUUGAGGAGUGGCUUUUCUUUUCCCAGUAGUCCCCUUUACUUGUUUUGAAGCUCCAACUCUCAAAUUUUCAGAAUCUAUAGAAGUAGGAGGUGUAACACUACCCUCAAUAGAUGUUGGUUCGGUAGACAUUCUGCAAGAAAAAAAAUAAAUCAUGGUGUGGAAUAAUAAACUAAAUUAAUAUCUUUGAUAAUAAGAAAAUUUUGGAAUAAUAAUACCUAAUGAUAAGCAAAAAGUUAAAGAGAAUACUAGAGGAAGGCAGACAAGAAACCAAUUUGUUAAAAAAAUAGUUAAUAGGAUAAUGUAGGCACAAAUAUUUACAGCCUACAUAAAUCUCUUUUUUUUUACAACACAUACAUACACAUCUCAAUGAAUCAGUUAAUCUUAAACUAAAUAAACUAUAGCAAUAAAAAUAAUCAAAUAAAUUACAGUAAUAAAUUACAGUUAAUAGGAUAAUUUUAAAAUGAAGAUUUUUUUUUGUUGAAAAUGUUGAAGAUGAUAAAAAAUGUUUUCAUCUUGCCUUCACUCUGAGCAUUGUAAAAUUUAAAAUUUUCAAUUUCAUAAGUCUAGCUCUGAUUGAUCCAUUACCUUAAGAUGUGUAUACUGUACUUGCAUUUAGGAAAUGCAUAUAGGUUUAAUAUUUUAUUUUAUUUUAUUUUUAUUUAGGUUUAUCCUAUUCUUCGCGUGCUGCUACAAUUUAUUUUCAAUAAAUUACGAAUGGCUAUUUUCAUGGAGCAGCAGAGCUAACCUUUGAAUUUUUUAGGCAUGUCCAAUUGAAAAGAGGGAGCAAUAAUAUUGAAAGAAUCUAUAAGAAAUACCUACAUUUAGGAGAAGGAAGGGAAAAAGUAUCAAUUCGGUAAAGAGAGCUGCUUCGAUGACAACACCAGCGACGAGCCGUAGCUCUAGCCUCCAGCUAUGAUACUUUCUAGUUUCUGCAAAACACACAAAAGAUUUUGAAGGUUUUGGGAGAUUUCAAUUAGGGAUUUGAAACUUGAAAGGUUAGGAUUUUUUUUUCUAUCGUCUGUGGACUGUGUGUGUGAGUGUGUUUAUGUUUUAGUUUUACUAGACUUUUACUUUUACUUUUAGAUUUUUAUUUUUAUUUAUUAAAUUAUUUGUAAUUUUUAUGAUUGAGUUGGGUAAUUAGAUUGGGUAAUUGGGUUGGGUUUGGUUGGGUACUUGGGUUUAUAUAUAUUAGAGUGGGUUUAUGUUGGAUUGAGUUUGGGUAAAUAGUAGGCUAUUUAUAUAUUAUAAUUUUAUUUAUUAAUUUUUUUGGUUAAAUGAAAAAUUCGGUUAAUCAACCGGUUUCAAACUGAAUUAACCGUUAACCAAAAAUUCAAAAAAUUAUUAACCGACCUCCUACCAAAUUAAUUCGGUUAACUGACCGAUAAACCGAAUUUGGUUGGUUAACCAAAAUUUUUCGGUUUUACCCAAAAUUUGCACACCCCUAGUUAAACCUCCCUAUCUCAAGUAAGAAACUCAAUUGGAUAAAAUGAUUGAUGAAAUCACUAAAAAAAAUCCUAUUGAAGUUACCCUUGAUGCUCAACAAUUUGUUGAAUAGUUGUUCUAAAAGAAUGAGGAGAGCUCGCAGUGGGUAAUGAUGAUGAGAAUGUAGGGCAUUAGGUAAUUGUUACCUUAAUUGCUACUGGUCUUACAUUUCAAAGGUGAACAAGGGGUUUAGCCCAUAAAGUUAUCGAAUUUGAAUAUUCAAAAAGAAGGCAGCUCGAACAGGUAAGGAACAUUUUGUUCCGCAGAUUCCAAAAUGAAAAAAGUUUACAGAGAGAAAAAGGCCACUGAACCAAUUGAAGUUGAUGAAAUUUCAGAAGUUGAAGAUAAUGUGCCAUUGGCAGAGUUGGAACUACAAGCAACUAAGCAUAGAUCGAAAGAUUAAGUGCUCCCUCUUUAGCUAAACAAAAAAAAAAUGAAGGAAUAAGAAAAUGAAGGUCAUAGGUGUAACAACCCUCAUCCGACCCGAUCAUCAUGUCUAAGUUGUAGGAUGGUACAUUCGUUACUAGAACAACUACAAAUAAGUACAAAUUCACAAUCAUACUAUGCAACAUAUUCAUUUUCGGGUCUCACACAAGAUUAUUAAAGCUCUUUUGCUAAUCUAAGAUUGAAUUAGGACCAAUUUGUCAAGUUUUUAAAACUUCGGGUCGACAUUGCGACUUCAUAAUUCCCACAUCGCAACUGCGCAACUCAGUGAGUUACGUCGCGAUGUCAAACACCUCCACGUCACAACGCCACUCACUAUUAGCCCAAGUCGUGACAUCGGGAACUCAUGGUCGCGACUUUGCCCUUAUUUUUGGCAACUUAACACAAUUUGGUACCUAUUCACAUGUUUCCAUCCAAGCAUAUUAACACAUACAUCCAAUUUUCAAUUCACCCAUAUCGAAACCUAGCAAAACAUGCCAAAGCAAAGCUUGUAACACAUUGAAUUUGACCAUUUAACAUAACAUACAACCUAAUCACAUCAUUUACUUAUCAGUCGUGCUUAACUUAGAUCAACUCAUGCAUAUCCAUUUAUUUUGAGCAUCAAGGUCCUAUAUGAUCUUGAAUGUACAAAACAACCAUACAUUUAACAUAAGUCUCAAAUAUGACAACCAUUUAUACCAUUUCCAAUCAUACAUCAAAUUAUCACUUCAGUUUGUUAACCUUUCACAUGCCAAGACAUAUAAGUUUAUAUCAUCACCCAUACUAGCAUGUAACAUGAUCCAUGCCAUACAUUUUCUAAGUCAUGAGAAAAUCAUAUUACUCAAUAUUAACUAUGCCACAAUUCCUAUAUAGCCAACUAUCCCAAAAUGACUAUUAUCACACUAAGGUACCCUAUAUAUAUGCCACAAAACUUGGAAACAUUUAACAUAAAUUCUACCAUCUUUUGAUCGUGUGUGUGCUUUGCAUUGAUUCAGCUCAGCAAGUUCAGCAAGGUUGCAAUCUUCAAGGGAAAUAAACAACUAGAAAACCUUGAUCUUAUUUAAGCAUAAAAAAAAACCCUUAGUUUGGCAUAUUGUUGGCUAGAUCAUGCCACUCAAACCAGGGAUAUAGUAUUAUCCAUGAUCAUUAGACACUACAUGAAAACUAGGCAUACCAAUUUACAUAACUUUCAUAUACUUACCACAAUGACAUAUUCAAUUAACAAAUCACAAAAUCAUACUAAGUUCACACGAUUCAAUAUAAUUACCCUUCUUCCAUUAUCAAUCAAUAAAAUGCAUCAAUUACAAUUAAAUCCAUUAAAUGACAUUUCAAUUUGAUUACCAAGUCUAUUUCAUCAUAUUUUCAAAUUUGAUGUUGCAAUGUCGUAAUACGAUGUGUUGAUAUUGUAACAUAGUGAGCAGAGAGCACUUAAAAUGAGCAAACUACCUUCAAUAUCGUGAUAUAGACAGAGUGUGUCAUGACACAACUCUACAAUCCAACCUGAGCUUGUAAACUGCCAUCAGUUUUGCGACACCGAUGUGACGAGGUGAAAUAAUGAGCCAAGGGCAUUUUGGGCCACACAAAAAACUUUAAUGCAAAAACAUUAUUUGAAUUAGGUCAAUGGACAAUGACCAACCCUAAGCCUAUAAAUAGACAACUCUAAACACUUCAUAAACUAUUUUUAUUCAAGUUUUAGUUUACGACUUCAUUUAGUUUUACUUUUCAGUUCUCUUUAGUUUAUUUUGCACUUAGGUUUAUUUUCAGUUGUAAUUCUAUUUUAGUUUUUAUUUCCAUUCGUUGUGGAACUUGAUUUGUGGAUUGUUGUUCACACAAUUAUCAAUAUAUAUCAGGAUUAUUCUUAAACUCUAUUUUUGAUUUAUUAUUUAUGUUCAUCUUUUCAAUCAAGUUUAUGAUGUUUAUUAGAUCCAUUAGGAACUAAUCCUUUUAUGGGAGAUUAACGAGUGGAUGUUAGAGUAAUUAACUUCUAUGUAGGGUUUCUUAGAGGAUCAACUAGUUGGGAUAAGAAGAACAUAAAAUCCUAGGCUUGACAAACUUAGCUUUUCCCAUAUUAGCUCUACUUUAAUCCAGAUCUUGAUCUAUACAAUUAUUUUAUAUAACCAAUAAAUAUCAAACAUUUUCAUACUAUGUCAUGAUAUAUAUGAUCCUAUAAAAUUUUAUUUUUUGAUUCUCCUCAUAUUUUAUAAUUUAUUCAAUUUACUCCCUAAACUUGAAAACUUGGGAUAAGCAUAAUUUUUUUAUUCCUAGCUUGAAUUAAAAUCCAAUUUUAUAUAUUUCUAACAUUUAUUCAAUUUGGUCCCUACUGUAACAAAUAAGCUAAAUUAACUUUACAAUCUAGUCCUUUUUAUAUUCUAAGCAUAAAAUCUAUCAUUUUCAAGCUUAAUUCUUCAAGAAAUCAUCAAUGAUGAUUUUCUAAAACUUUAAGAGUUUCACAAAUUUGUACACGGGUUAGCCAAAUCAAGCUCCCCAUGACUCCAAAUCCAUAAAACUUACAAGAAAAAGACUUGAAUUUGCUUACCAAAUGAUGGUCGAAUGUUUUAGAAAAUUCCUUUGAUUUUUUCCUUCCAUGGAUGACAAGAAGAAAGCAAAUGAAGAAGAUUGCAUAUUUUUCCACUAUUUUAUGCUUUUAUACCUUGAUUAAACCUUAAUGAACAUUAAUUGAUUAACUUAAUCUUUAAUUAGUUUACUUUAAUUAUCAUUAACUCUAUUAGUGGAAAACAACAUCAUCAUCCACUAUAUUAUGAUAUAAAAUAGUUUAUUUACCAUAAUUUUCCUUUGGUUAAUUGCUAUUUAGGUCCCUAAACUUUUGACCAAUUAAAAAUCUAUCGCGAUUUGACUUUUACAAUUUAGUCCCUAGACCUUAAUUAACUAUUAAUUCGACAAAAUUACAUGACCAAUCCUUAGUAUAUUUUUAUAUUAGUUUUAUAAAUAUUCAUAUUUAAUAUUUACAGAAAUGGGGUUUUGAAAUCGCAUUUUUUACUACCACUAAAUUUUAGGUUGUUAUAGUAAGAGUUAUUAAAAACUUAAGAGAGGCUAUUAAAGUUGCAAGACCUGAACCAAAACAAAAGAAUUUUAAGUUAUUUAUUCCUACUUGUGCUAAAAGGAUGAAGGUCAUGGAAGAAAAAGGUUUCAUAGUCAAGUGAAAUAUCCACCAAAGUGGCUUCUAUGAGAAUGGUUUUGAUGUCUUUCUUGAACAAAAUGAAUUAUUUCUCUUUGUUUCCUAUGUCAAGUCUUUUGUAAAUAAUUUGAUAUUAGAUUAUAUGUCAACCUUUUGAAAUUGAUAAAAGAUUAAAACAAUGAACAUUACAUGCAUGCAUAUGUUAAGAGACUUUUUUCACAAGUAGUCUUGUAGUAAUCAACAAUUUUCUUUAUUGCCAUGGUGUGGAUGAUGGAGACUUCACUGUUGAAGAUGAUUUUCUUACUUUCUAACUCAUUAACAAAGUUCGAUACACCUGGCCUGAAGGGCACUAUUUUAAGACUUCUAAUCUUAAGACCAGGUAGUAGCCUUGUAGGCCAUUAUUACUAGAAACAGACUUCCUAACAAGUAAAGCAUGGUGCUUAACAAAAGGAUAACAGUGUCAUUAUAAAAGAUAGUUUCAUUCUUUCUUUUUGAUCAUGGUUAAAUAAUUUUUAAUAAAAUCGUUAAGCAUGUAGAGACCAAGAAUCCCAGGCAUGCAUUACCUUCCCCUUUACUCAUCUACCAAAUUUUGCUUAAGUAAAAGAAGGAUAAUAAUUGAAUAAUGAAGUUACUAAGCCUGAAGUACCAAAAUUGAAGUAUUCUUAUAAGUGGAAAAAGCGUAAACAUUUUAUUACUAAUACAGAUUCAAGAGUUGAGUCUAAUAAUGACAAAGAUCCUGAACUAGUUGUUGCCCAGUUGCAAUUGGAUCAACAUCUGAUUGGCAGCCUAGUGCUGAUAAAGUUAGAAUUUUAGAGCAUCUUGACGAGGACAUAACAUAUAUCAGCGAACACUUAUAACACUUGGAGAACCAAAUUAAGCUCCUAAACAAAUAGAAGACUCGUGUUCUUUGUUAUACUAUUGAUUUAUUUGCUUGAGACCUUUGAUGCCUUUGCAUUUUUUUAGCCAAAAAGGUAGAAGAAUGAGUAGAGUGAGGGAGUUAGGGGAGAAUGAAUUAUGAUUCUUUUAGGUGAUAUUUUUGGUUGGUGAUUUGAUACUUAUACCCAAAGGUGAAUCUAAAGGGGGCAAACAGGGGCCUUGGUCCCCUCCCAAAAUGAUUUUUUUUCAAUCUAGUCUUCUUAUAAAUAGAGAAAUUAUAAAUUAGUAUAUAGUGAAAUUGUGCUUUGGCCUCCCUAAAAUGAAUAUUUUUGAUUCAAUCAUUUUAUGAAUAAAUAAAUUAUAAAUUAAUAUAUAGUAAAAUUUCACUUUAGCCCCCAUAAAAAUGAAAUAAAUUAUGUAUAGUUCUUUGAAAAUUUAUGAAAUUAUAAGUUAAUACAUAAUAAACUGGGCAUUUUACAAGGAAAAUCCCUUUUUUUUUCUAAAAUUACGGAAAUAGGCUGACUUUUUAAUUAUUUACCAGAUCAGGCUGUUUUCCCCGAAAUCGCGUCCAGGUCAGCAAAACGCUCCCCCAGGGAAGCGUUUUGUCUACGUCAGCAGAAAUCGCGUCCUUGAGGGUGCGCUUUGCUGACAUGGACAAAACGCUUCCCCGGGGAAACGUUUUUUCCCUUUUUUCCAUUAGUUAUUUUAGGGUUUAUGGUUAGUGGUUUAGGAUUUUGGGGUUAAUUCAUAAAAUUAACUAUUAAUUUUAAAUACUAAAUGCUAAAUUAGAGUUUAGGGUUUAUGGUUAGUUAAUUAAAUUAGGGUUUUUCGAUUAAAUGAGCAUUAAUUGAUUAAUUUAGGGUUAAUUGAUACAUAAUGGUUUACACAUACUAUUUUAAUAUUAGAAAAAUAAUUCGAUUACUUCAGCGUUUCGAUUAAUCAUUUGAUUAAAUGAGCGUUAGUUGAUUAAUUUAGGGUUAAUUUAGGUUAAUUAAGUAGACGUUUCUGAACAAAUAGUGUCAAAAACGCUUCAAGCAGGAUGCACUGUCAGCAAAAUUUUGGAAAAAAGCUCCCACGUGGACGCGCUUUUGCUAUAAUAGUUCAUAGAAAAAUAAUUCUGAGUAGACGUUUCUAAAUAAAUAGUGUUAAAAACGCUUCAAGCAAGAUGCAUUGUAAGCAAAAUUUCAGAAAAAAGCUCCCACGUGGACGCGCUUUUGCUACAGUAGUUCGUAGAAAAAUAAUUCUGAGUAGACGUUUCUGAACAAAUAGUUUCAAAAAUGCUUCAAGCAGGAUGCACUGUCAGUAAAAUUUCGGAAAAAAGCUCCUACGUGGACGUGUUUUUCCUAUAGUAGUUCGUAGAAAAAUAAUUUUGAGUAGACGUUUCUGAACAAAUAGUGUCAAAAACGCUUCAAGCAGGAUGCAAUGUCAGAAAAUUUUAGAAAAAAGCUUCCACGUGGACGCGCUUUUGCUACAGUAGUUUGUAGAAAAACUGAGGCUAUAAAUGAGCCAAAUUUUAUUCUCAGGUUGCAUAACUUACAGUAAAAAAAAAUUUGAGAGACAAAGAAGAAUAGAAAUCUAAGAUGAGUGAACGUAUUAGUGCUGUUAUUUACUAUGAUGGUGAGGUCUGUAACACCGAGAACGGCAUUGUUUUUUUAUCGGAGAACACACGAGACUGGUUUUUAACCAGAACAUAGAUUUGAUAGAACUUCGUAAAAGAAUUAGGCGUAAAAUCUUUGGAACGACGCCAAUGAAAGUUUUGUGUAUUAAGUAUCGAUUUUGUGCUUCUAUUGAUCCAGUGACAUAUAACUCAUUCGACAUCAAAGGUGCUCGAAACUUGGAGGCAAUGGUGCAGACUCAUCUCGAUAGUGGAUCACCUUAUCUUGAGUUAUAUGAUCAAUUUUCAUCACCAAAUGAUGCAUUUGAAACUUUAACAUUUACUACUGGUGGAGAGGAAUACAUGACCCCUGCCCGGUACUCCGUUAGUAGGUGACAAAACACAGAAGCGUCCGUAUUUGGUAGCAGUAUGCAACACCCGACCCCUGUACGACACUCCGUUAGUGGAUGGGACAUACACCUCAGUGGGUCGAUGUUUGAUGCUGGAAAUACGUACUGGGGAAUGACAUAAACUUUAAGUGGUUGGCAAUCCACAUCUGAUUGGAAACGUUGUGAAAUGUCCACAAUGAGGGAUGAUGUGCUCCCCACGACGUCUACCGGUGAGGGGACCUCGUACGUUGCACAUGAUGAUCGGUCAGAUGAUGAGUCCGAUGUGGAUCCACCUCGAGAGGUUGGCCCCCAUGGUGCAGAAAUUGUAUUAUUUUCUGAACCGGAGACUGUUCCAACCAUACCUGAAGAUGUCGAAGGGGGUUCAAAUGAUGAAGAAGAAGAUGCACAAUUCAAGGCGUAAUCGCCUCCAGCCCACAUGCAUAAUGUUGAUUUAUCUCAAGAUGAUACGUUGGAGUUUCCAGAUCUACCACAUAGAAGGCGUGAUCGUACAAGUUCCUCAUUGGAUUCGGGUGAAUUGGAAGUUGGUAAAGAGUUUUCAAAUAAAGAUAGUUUUCUUGGUACAUUAAAACAACAUAGCAUCACGAACGGGGUUAACUACAAUGUGAUCAAGUCUAAACCUGAUAAGUUUAAGGCAGCACAUGUAUGUGGACCUUUGUACUUUUUUAUCUCCCAUAAGCCUGUCCUUUUCCUCAAUGAAGCCAUGAUUUUUCAUGAACAUGUACCAUCUAUUGUGUACUAAUAUUUUUAACCUACUUUGUUGACAGGUGUUUUGGAAGAUCAUCCCAAGAUGAAUUCAGAAAUGAAAGCUACCUUAAUACUACCGACAGUGAAGGCGGAUCCUAGAACUACAGUGCCUAUCAUAAUUGCCAAUAUUCGUAGCCAAUUGAGGUACACACCCUCUUACCGCAAGGCUUGGGUAGCUAAGCAGAAGGUGUUAGAAAAGAUAUAUGGUGGGUAGGACGCUUCAUAUAACGAACUUUGGCAGUGGUGUCAGGUGCUGGAGAGAUAUGUCCCAAGUUGCAUAACAGACCUUCAAACCGAACCUGCGUACUACAACGACCGAUUGCUCCAUGGAUGCGAAGUGUUUAAGCGUCUAUUUUGGAGCUUUAAGCAAUGCUGAGAUGCAUUUCUAUAUUGUAAGCCGUUGGUACAAAUUAGCGGUACCUUUAUGUACGGUAGAUAUACCCAUCGGCUAUUGCUAGCUGUGGCACAAGAUGACAGUGGGAGAAUCCUUCCAAUUGCGUUUGCAAUAACAUCAGAGGAGUCAGAUGAUGACUGUGAUUUCUUUCUUUCUAGGCUAAGGAGGCAUGUUUGUGCCCAACCUAAUAUCUGUGUCAUAUCAGAUCGGGGCACUGUAAUACUAGCCGUAAUUGUGCGACAGGAAAGAAUGUGGCAUCACACACACCAUCGGUAUUGCCUAAGGCACUUUGCGUCCAACUACCACAGGCAAUUUCAUUCUACAACUGGAAAACGACAAGUAACCAACAUGGGUAUGUAAUAUCUAUUAAUAUAAUUUUGUUUGUAAUACUAAAUUUAUUUUAACUGGAAAUGUGGUAUGUAAUUUUCGCUAUCAACUUAUAUUGGUAGGGUAUGAGAUAAGUAAGGAUCAUUUCCAUGAAAUGUUGGCGAUUCUGCGUUCGUAUAACGAAUAAGGAGCAAACUACCUUUGUAAUAUACCUUUCAAACAGUGGACACAAGAAUACGAGGUGGCCUACGAUAUGGUCAUAUGACCUCAAACCUGGCCUAAUGUAUAAAUUCUGUUCUAAAAGGAACACGCCAUUUACCAAUAACAUCAAUUGUUCGAGAGACAUAUUCUCGUUUAACGGCACUAUUCCCGAAACGAGCAGCAAGUUAUACAGGCCAAAUCCAAGGAGGACAUGUAUAGUGCGCAAAGGUAUUGCAAGAAAUUAACAAGGUGAAGGCGCAGACGAACACCAUGCACACAGUGUGUCACGAUCGAGACAAUCUAUGGUUUCGUGUGACGGAGUUUGACAGACCGCAGGAAGGUAUUAUUGGCGGGCAAUAUCGUGUACACUUGAGAAAUAGAACUUGCGAUCGUGGGAGGUUUGACGCACUUCGUUAUCCAUGCAGUCAUGUAAUUGCAGCUUGUCAAAAUCUGCGUAUAGAUCCUAUGAGAUACAUCAACGAAGUGUACAGAAUACAAACCAUGUACAAUGUGUGGAGACAUGUAUUUCUACCUUUCCCAGAUGAACGUAAGUGGCCGCCUGUAUCGCUUGCUUCGUUUAAGCUGUUACUGGAUAGAGAAUUGCGUCGCAAACCAAAGGGUCGACCUUGCUUGACUAGAAUACGUACCGAUAUGGAUAUUCGAGAAACAACCAAUCAACAGAAAUUAUGCGGAUACUGUAGGAACCGAGGACAUACAAGUAUAUCUUGUCAUAAUCGAAAUAGUUGAUAGUUGUCAUAAAAAAUUAUGUUGUAUUAUUUAUAUUUUAUUAAAUGAAAUGUAUCAAACUUUUACUUUUAUUUUACAGGGUUGCCCUUAAAGUUUUACUUUUACUCAAUUUAGUCUUUUAUUGGAAUAUUUCAAACUUUUAUUCUAUCAAACGAAACAAUACCUUCUAUUUUAAUAAAAAUAUAGUAAUUUAUUUUAUUUUACGUAAUAACUAUGUCGAUCAAAUACAAGUAAGACAUCGAGACAUGACUGAGACGUAAUUAAUUAGCUCAAAGAUUACCCUCAAUUUUUGUUGGAAUACAUGUAUUGAUGGAUUAUAGUUAUUAGUUAUAUAUUUAGAUUUUUUUAUGAAUAUUUUAUAAUAUUUAUGAUUUUUUUUUAAAUUUUGAAAAAAAAUUAUUUUAUUAAUUUUGUAUAAUUAUAUAUAUAUAUAUUAAUUAUCUAUAAGAAUGACGGAAUUCAUCAAAUUGAUAAAUAUGUAAACCUUCAAAGUUAGCAUUUAUGAAUGAUAAAAAAAAUUAUCAUCCUCAUUUUCUUCACAAAUAUGAUGUUUAUCAUUCAAUCGAGUAUUUUUGUUUGAUUUUAUUGAGAUAAAAAAAUAGAGUUAAUGUAGGGUUGGUGAGAGUGGUCAAAUGAGGUAAAUAUAGAAAUAGUUUUUUAAGACAUAUAUAAUCAAAUAAAGAAAAUAUAAAUAUAAAUAAAAAUUAAACAAUAUAAAAAGUUUGUACAAUUGGGUUUUUAAGACAUACAAUUUACAAUUGCCUUAUUCAAAAGAAAUUUUAUUUUAUUCAAAUUAAACAAUACAAAAAGUUUGUACACAUAUAUUAAAAAAAUUCAAUGUCCGUGGCGGUCAGAAUCAGUGUCACACGGGGGUCGUCGACGGGUCCAUGCUGGAUUCCUCCUUGGUUCAGCUUCCGGCUGCGGUUGUGGUUCAUCCGGCAGGGGAUCUGGUUGUGGAUGUUGAGAGCUUGACCCACCUUGAUAGAAUAAUGACUGCGGUGGUGUUUGCAUUUCCCAUGGAGGAGGUGUUUGAACCCCGUAAGGUGAUGGGGAUUGGUAGAAAGAAGAGCCCCCCGAUGGUGUCUCCUGCGAUCCCUCAUGCGAUGAUGGCCUAUAGAUUGGUGGUUAACUCGGAGUAAUCAGGAACAGAGAUGAACCGGGCCAUGGAUUCUAACUUACCAUAAGACUAGGAAAAGGAAACAUAAAAGGGUUAGGAUAUAUAUAAGGGAUAGGAUACGUACCUGGCAUAGGACUAGGAAAAGGCUGUAAUGUGGGUGUCGUCUGUUGAACUGUUGGGCCCGGUGAUUGUGGCAGCGCUAUUGAUGGGCUUGCUGAUUGUAUGGGCGCUGUUGAUGGGCCUGCUGAUUGUGGGGGUGCUGUUGAUGGGCUUGCGUCGUCGCCCCUUUUUCUUGGAUUUAAAGGGCCCCGUCGUUCCCUUUGAACACGAAUUUGUCGUUGCCUCUCCUCUUCCGACAAUAAAUAUGGCUUGCCAUAGAUCCUAAACCAUGGCAUGUAUUCUGGUACGCAUGCUAACUCUGGAACGAUAAUCGGUUCCCGAGUAGGUAUAUAAUCAUACCGAUUUUCCCACAUUUCGAUAUAGCCUGACCAGUAUCUCGGCCAAUCCAUAUUCAAUAGCCGUAAGUCGACUUUAUGCUCUUCAUCAAACACCUCAGGUGCUACGAGAAUCGGUUGUCGAAAUCCAAAUUGUCGCAAUACUCUGUCUGAUUGGUGCAUCUCGACCGUAGCAUAGUUCACCAAUGGGACCUUCACAUGCCAAGCGUUCAGAUUUUGAACAUAUUCAUCCGGAAUUACUGCCCGAAUUGCCGGAUCAUCGUAUGGUGUCCAUUCAAACUAUAUGAACAUGAUAAAAAUAUUACUUAUAUACAUAAUACUAACUACUAAAUACUAAAUAUGAAACAACUAUUUUAUUAAUUAUAUAUAAUUUAUUUAAUACUUACUUGUGUAUCCGAUCGUUGGUCUAAUAGAAGCCGUAUAUCUUCGAGAGAGUUGGGUAUUCCGACAUAACUCGCCGAACGGUUCCACCUAAUUAAAUAAUUUUUUAGCAUACAACAAUUAUAUACUAAACUACGUAAUAAUGGUAAAAUAUAAUAUAAAAUUUAUCUCGUUAUUAGUGGAAAUGUAUAUGGAUAGUCCACUCGAGGACGUAAAAAUGGAAAGUGAAACCGUGCCCAUGAUUGCAGUAGUGAUAGACAACCUCCUAUUUUGACUUUGUUUGGCAGCGUCGCACCGUACAUUUCCUUGUACAACUUUGCCAACACGGCAGACCCCCAACUCAAUUCGCCGGCUGUUCUAAAAUUUACGAGUUUCAACAGCCAUCUCAGAUGUACAAGGUUUCGUGACAAGUCCGACAUCAGAUAACCUCCAAUAAUCUCGAGAAUAUAUGCCCGAGUAUAUUGUAUUCUUUCGAGUUCUGUCGAAUCAUUAUCUGGCUCCGGGAAUGUGUCUCGUAACCAACCCAUCUGGAUCCGACCUCCGUUAAUAUAAUCCGGUAUAGCACCCAAAAGCUCAUAGCAUACGGCGCUCCAAUCACUAGAUGAUGCAGAUCCGGUGACUGCGUACCCAUCCACCGGCAAUCCCAAUUGCAAAUGCACGUCUUGCAGAGUGAUAGUACAUUCUCCGCAUGGAAGAUGAAAAGUAUGCGUCUCGGGUCUCCACCUCUCUAUCAACGCACUGAUUAGUUUCGGGUCUAACUUGCACCCCCGACCUAUCGUGGCCACAUGCCAGAAUCCCGCUUCCCGCAAGCAAUUCUCAAUCAAGGGCGAUGGAGGAUUAGGCAUAUUACGAAUGUAACAUUCUAACACCCGAUCUACAGACUAUUAUAAAAAAUUAUAAAACAAAAAUUAAUUAAAAUUGCAUAAAUUAAUUAAUGCAAACAUCAUAACUGAAAAUUAAAUUAAAAAAAUUUAAAUUUGCAUAAAUGAAAAUUAAAUUUGCAUAAAUAAAUUAAAGUAUCACUUAACAUUUUCAUUUGCUCAACGGAGGUGUGCUUAUUAUCAAGACGGAUUAGUUCUCUGGCCAUUGCUAGCACGAUGGUAUUUUUUUAAUUUUAAAAAAUUAAAUUCAAAAAAAUUUUAAACAGAGAAAUUUCGUAAAAUUUUGAUGGAAUUUAAGAAAUUUUCACUAAAAAUUGAUAGAUUUUUUAAGGGAAUACUGAAAGAAAAUCGAGAUUAAACAAAGAAUUGUGUGAAAAAUAAAGGAGGGGAUUGAAAUUUUGAGAGAAUUAGAGAAUUUGAGAGUGAUUUGUGUGAAAAAAUGAAUUAGAGGGGCCAUUUUAUAGUUUUUUUUUCUGACCGUUGAACGGGCAAAAACGCUCCCCCGAGGAAUCGUUUUGUCCACGUCAGCAAAGCGCGCCCUCAAGGACGCGAUUUCUGCUUACGUGGACAAAACGCUUCCCUGGGAGAGCGUUUUGCUGACGUGGACAAUAAAAUCACGCUGACGUGAACGCGAUUUCGAAGAAAAAGGCCUAGUCCGGUAAAUAAUUAAAAAGUCGGCCUAUUUCCAUAAUUUUAGAAAAAAAAAGGAAUUUUCCUUGUAAAAUGCCCUAAUAAACUUAUAUUUUGAUCUAUGAAAAAAAUUAGAAUUAAAUUUUGGCCCCUACUAAUUUCCUCUGCUUAUACCUUUUGUUUAUGUUGGGUUUUGUUAGCAUGUACUUAAGCUAUUCUAACUUUUGCUAUGUUACUGUCUAAACUUGAUGUUAUUCGUACUGAAAGAUAUUAAGAUAAAAUCCUUCCAAUAUUAAUUUUAUUCGAAAAAAUCUAAUUUUUUAAUCAGUUACUCUUACUGACUUCAAUAUAUAAUAUAAAAUUCGACUUCAUGAAGCCAACUCAUAAACAUAUUUAAUAAAGUAAAAAGAUGUGACCAUUAACUUGAAUUAAAGAAAAGCUAGCACAUCAAUGCCAUCAUCUUCUCUUUUCCUAUGAACUCAAAUGUCCUUCAAUGCUGUUGUUUACAAGUACUCUUCCUUAAAUGAAAUCCCACGUUGCUUCAUCAGCUACCAUACAAGUGUCAUUUAGGGCCAUGUCAAUGGGUGAAAUGGAUGCAAUUUGGUGCCCACAAUGCCAUGUGGGCUGACUUUAUACUUGACAGUUGGUAUAAUGCCAUUUUAUUACAAUUUAAUUUAGGGAUAAUGAUUUUCUUUCAUCUAAUUAUAAAAAAAUUAUUUUAGUUUUCCAUUUAAACUUUCACAUUUUUGAGUUUUUAAAUUCGUAUUUUUUUAUCACAUUACCUUGAAAUGAAUAAAAAAGUUAAUAUUGUUUAAUUUUAUUGAUGUUGCAUAUAUGUGGAUCGUUAUAUGAAUGACAUGUCAAAAAUUAAUUAAUUUUUUAAAAUGCAAAAAAAUUAUAAAAUUAUUUUUAAAAAUUAAAAAUCUUUAAAAUUAUUAAAUAAAUUUAAAAAUUUUAAAAAUAUUUUUUUAAUAUUUUAAUAUUUAAAAAAUUAAUUAAAUACUUAGAUGUUAUCUACAUGGAAAUCCACCACGUUAGUAAAAUUAACAAACGUAAACUUUUCUAUCCAUUUUAAGGAGAGUUGAUAAAGUUUAAAAGCUAAAAGAGAUGAAAAAUUAAAUAAGGAUUAAAAUAAAUUUUUAUCAAAUUGGAGAACCAAAAAAAUUAUUAUGCGACAACUUAACCUUUAUAUAUUUAUUUUGCUUAUGGUGUAUAAACUAAUUAAAAAAUAUCAUGGUAAAAGUGAUAUGAUAAAUUCAAAAUUAAUGAAUUUUCUAAUAAAUUAAUAUUACAAUAAUUAAUUACAACUCAAUGGAUUUAAGGAGUAAUUGAGAAAGCAACUCCUGCUUACAAACAUUUGUUAACAGAAAGAAAUAUGUAAGACAGACCAAAGUGCAUGUAAAAACCAAACAAAUGAAUGAGUCAAGAAUGUAUGUUUGUUGGUUGUUCACACACACAUUUCCAAAGGGGGUUUGAUGUUCAUUUAUUUGCCUUUUGUUUGUUAGUUAUUAUUUUCGUGCUGGAAAUUCAUCUAAUCAUGUUAUUUUGAUGUCUCAGCAUACCCAAUUUAAGACCAUGGCCAUGCUAUAAUUUCAAUAGCUAAACAAUUUUUAAGAGAGUAGUCGCAAAUUUACUAUUUUGAUGUAUUGUUGGUUUGGGUAUCGAAUUGAUUUAAUUAAAAAUUAGUGAUUUAAUCAAUUCAAUUAAUAUUAUAAAAUUAGAAGAUGACUGAAUUGAUAAAAAAAACAAGUUGAAUCAAAUUAAAAGUUAAUUUAAACAUUUAAUUUUGUUGUUAUAAUUUAUAAAAUAAAUAUUUAUGUCUCUUAUUUACAUUUUCUUUUAUGAAUUUCUUGGAAUUUAAAAAAAAAAUUAUUAGUUGAACCAAAGAUUUCAACCUAUUAAAUUAAAAAUAAAAAAUUUAAUCGAUUCCACCACUAUUUCGAUCUUUACAAAAUUUUAAUAUUUCGUAAUAAUAACUAAUCUACUUACUAAACAAAAUGAAAAAAUUUUGGGGCUCUUACCAUUUUCAUAUAAUUAAUUACAUAUAACAGAAGUUUGCUUCCAAAGCAGCAAUAUAAAUACACAAAUCAAUAUUGUUAUUUUGGCAUCAACAAUCAAGAUUCCCAAAUUGGAAGGUAUGGGCUUUGAUUAAUACUAACAUUUUCUAUACGCUUUUUCUUUUUUGUGUGUUAUUUGUUCCUUUCAGCAUUUUGAGAUGCAUGAACUUUAAGGUGUAGCACAAUUCACUAAUGUGAGACACCCGAAAAAUAAGUAAAAUGUCAUAAAUGACGAUGUCUGCUAGGAUUUGAAAUGGGACAAAUUACUGGUUUCUAGAAAUCUGAUUUCUUCUACUUUUUUCUUUGUCUUUUAGUCGUCUCAAUAGUAUAGCUACGACUUUAAAAUUCAAUGCACAACUAAAUAAUAAUAAUGAUGAAUAAGUUUAUAAAAAUUUAUGGUUUUAAGAAUAAUCUGGGUUUAAAUUAUCAUUUUAGAUAAAUUACGAAUUUAAAUUUUAAUUUUUUUAUAUAUUAAAUCAUACAAUUUAAAUCCAUAUUUUAAUAAAAAAUUUAAUCCCAGUAUAAUAUAAUUUUAUCUAAACCCAAAUUCAAUCAUCAAUCAUGAUGAUAUCUAGCAACUGUAAACUUGUAAUUGCCUAGCAGCAUGUGAACAGGGGAGGGUCGAUGUCAGCCACCCCGCCCAAUAAAUACUCACUCCUUUAAGUAAGAAAUAGUCAAAAUGUUGCUUUAAGAGUCAUGGAAUCACGUCUUCAACUUUGCCAUCCUAUUCUUCCCUUGUCAUAACAACAUUGUUUUGCUAUUGCUUUCAACAUUAUUGUCCUUACAUUACAAAUAAUCAACAAUAUCUACGUUAUAUUAAAACAAUUUAUUGAAUUAGUAUUAUCAACAGUCUAGUUAAUUCCAAUUGUAUCGAUGCUCAUUAUUUCAUUAGAAAAUUACAAUAAUCAACUUUCUAUUUUACAUUAAUGAAAAUUUUUAUUUAAUUUAUUUUAUUCAAUUUUAGUCACUCUCAUCAAAAUAUUGUACAUUAAUUGGUACAUGAAUGCUAUUAGAAAUAUAUAUAUAAAUGUUAAUUUAUUAUUUUCUAGUAAUAAAUAAUGAAAAAAGACAUAAUUUCUUAAAGCUUCAAUAACAUAAUUUUUUUAUGAACUUACAUCUUAUAUGUUUAGUACAGGAUGAUUUUGUCGUGGAUAAUCUUGCUUUUCAUUUUGGAUAUUUGUGUAUUUUAUAUCAUUGAUAAAUAUUUUAUAUUUAAAAUUUAUUUAAUCUCAUUAAUUUAAUAUUUACAAAUACUUUAUAUAUCUAUUAAAUAUUAUAAAAAUUCUAUGACAAACUCAAAAUGGUACAUCAUAGCAUAUUAAUGUCAAUAUGUAUCAUCUUUAAUAAAAAAUAAUACACCCAUGAAUCUGAUAUUGACUACCUCAAUUACAAAACAUCAACUUAAUUAAUAAAAUUACUUCAAAAUUUUAAAAGUUAUCUUUUUUUUAAAUACAUUCAUGCACAUAGUUAUUGUGCCACAAUAUGUUGAUGACUCAAAUUUGUAUUUGUCAUUCUAUAUAUAAAAUGUGAAAAAUUAUGAUGGCAUUCUAUAUAAAAUUAUGCAUACCAAGCAUCAGAUUGAUUUAAACAUACUUAAACAAUUUGGGAUUUACCUUAAUGUCCAGUGAGCUCCUCCAAUUGCAUUUAUAGCUUAGUCCAUCGAUUUAUCAGACAAAUCAACAUGCCAUCACUAUUCAAACAUUUAAUCAUUCAAUCAAGUAGUUAUAAAAGGGCCCAAAAUAAAAAAUUAACAAUCCCUAAUGUUCAAUUUACAACCCAUCAAAAUUACUUAAAAAUUUCUAAGUCUAAUCUAGUCCCUUGGAAUAGUCCCACAUUGCCUUUCUUAUUGGGGUUUAGAAACACGACACAUACACAGGAAGUUUGCCUUGCGAUGGAUCAUUGGAAAGCCCCACUUUUCAACUGUCUUGCAAGCUACUCUUCUGUACAACGACAAUAAAGAGUGUGAGUUUAUUGAAAUUCAGUGAGUUCACAAAACAUGCUACAAGUGAACACAUCAAUCAGGUUAAAAGUUAGUAUGUUAUACAGUUCUCACAAAAAUACAGCUCGCAUGAAUUCUGGCUUGCAUGAUAAUAAAGACAUAAUAACUUGUAAUAAAUUACAAUGUUAUAUUGCUCACAUGAUAAAAUCAAUUCACAUAAUAAAAUCAAUUCACAUAACAUAACAUAACAUAAUCAUAACACAUAACAUUGAUAUAUUGGCAAUUUGUGACUGUUAAACAUAAUCAUAAAACAUAUUCAUUGGAUAAACGGAUUUCCAAUCACACCCAAUGACUCAUAGAGUCCUGCGCUAUCUCCAAUAAUAAUAAAUUUAUUAUUCAAAUUUUACUUACAAUCUAGCAGCGGAAAGGUCAAAUUCAACUUAGUUUUAAUUAAAUAAAAUCAUGAUUUUUUUGAAUAAUUAAUUCUCAAUUCAUGUUUCAAUAUCCUAAAUUCAAAAUAACAACCAAGCAUGCUAAACAAACCCAAAAUCGAAGCCUCAUGCCACAAUAAAAAUAAAAUAAUUGAAAUUUCAAAUAGUAAAUCUAAAAUACAUUUUAAUAAAAAGAUCAAUCCGAGCUAAGUCCUCCGUAUGUUGAGUCCACGUCCUAACCUAGUGGGUUAUCUGUAAAGAUGGAAAUAAGAUGGGGCGUGAGCUUACGAAGCUCAGUGUAAGUUCAAUCACAAAAAAAAAACAGUGCAAACAGUAGACAAAUCGUACAGAAUAUCAACUCAUAGAAUGAUCAUAAUUGAAUAUCAAUUCAGAAUUUUGAAUCAAAUCAUCACCAUAAUAUCUCAAUAUUCACAUCUAUGCAAAUGUUUAUGAAUGCAAUGCAAUUUUAAUUUAUCAGAAAAUGUUCCUACCCCACCGCUACAAACCACAGUAGGAGUUCUUCAAAGCUCCUCUACCUUCACACCAUAUUAUGGAUAAAUCAAUGGUCGUUGCAGAUGAACUGCUAAUGAUAAGAAUAUUGGUGGAUGAAUCAUCCGUUUGUGUAGAUAAAAGUUACUAGUACGUUGUGGAUGAACCACAAGUCAUGUAGAUAAAUUGCCGACUAAAAAUAUUGGUGGAUGAACCCUCCAUGGGUACAGAUAAAAUCUGUUAAUUCGUUGUGAAUGAAACACUAGUCGAGCAAAUGACUACCAAUUAAAAUACGUUGUGGAUAAAACAUUAGUCCAGUAGAUAAAUUGCUGACUAAUACAUGUUGUGGAUAAUCCACUAGUUGAGUAGAUAAACUGUUGACUACUUCCUCAAUUCAAAUCAUCCCACCCCAUGCAAUGCAACAUGACAUGCUAUAACAGAUCAAUAUGGAAACAAUAACAUACUUAUAGCAAAUAUAUAUACAGUAGUAAUUAUUAUGCUUAAAAUAGAUCAUGACAGUAGCAAUAAACUUGCUUAACACGUAUUUUGUUUAAUGGUAGCAGUAGGCAUAUGUUAUGCAAUGUAACAGCUUGUUUUUCAAUGAAAUCGGAACAAUGGUUUCAGGACCACGAAUCCAAUGUUAAAAAAAUUAUUUUUAAUUUUAUUUUUUAGUCUAUAGCAUGUUCGGACUAUGGUAUAAAAAUUUCAUUAAGAAAUUUUAUCGUUUGUAUGCUCAAUUUGUGAAAAAAGGACUAAAUCGCAUAAAGUGCGAAAGUUGUGUUCUAUUAGCUAAAGGUGUUAAAUAUAUAUAUAAUUUUAAAGAAGAGGUCCUUAUUGAGAAAUUAGACCACUAAUUGAGUUAGUGGAUGUACACGGAGUGUAAUCAUGAAAAUUUUUAUUGUUAGAUGGAUAUUAGGUAUUAAUAGAUAAAAUAUUAAACAAAAAGAAGAGAAUAGUUAUUCAUCUUCUUCUCCACAGAAAAUAUCAACAAAGUAGGGGUCUUUGAAGCUCAAAAUUUUAGCCACUUAAUUCUCUUUCAUGUAAGUUACUUUGGUGGUUGUUUUUGUUGAUUUUUAUGUUUUUGGAACCCUUGUAGCUUAAGCUAGUUAAUUGGGGGACUAAAGUGCAAUGUGAUUGAAAGAUUAGGGUUUUUCCAUGAGAGCAUCUUGUUUUUUUUCUUGAAAUUUAAUGGAAGAAAGUGAAUCUUGGUUGUUUAAUAAACAACUUUUGUUAAAGGAAUUUUAAUGAAAUUGUCAAAUAAAGGCUUAAUAGAGAAAUAUGAAAGUCUUGUAUUAAAUGUGUGAAUUUUUGGAAUAUAUGGGUUGAUUAGGUAUACAUAAAAUUCGACUAGGCUUAUAUGUGAAAGAAAUUGCAUGAAUUUCAUUUUACGAGCCUAGGGACUAUAUUGUAAAUAAGUCAAAUAUUUGGGGGCAAAAUGGUAAAUUUUUCCUAAUAUUAAAUUGAGGUGAAUUAAAUUAAAUAAUUAUUAAAUUAGUUAAAUUUGGUUAUAUAGAUCAAGAAAAGCCACGUUCGGAAUUAAAUCAAGGGAAAGAAAAAGUAGUGGAUUGAUCAGUCGACUUACUCUGUAUUAACUUGAGGUAAGUUAAUAUAAAUAAUUUGCAUAUUUAUAUGCUUUGAUUUAAAUAUAUGUAUGAGAUUAGUUUAAUCAUUAUGAAUAAUUAUUGAGCAUGUAACCGACAAUUUAAGACGAAUACCGAGCCCGUUUGAACUUUAGAAAUUCGUAGGAUACCAAUGACAUGUUAUUAGGGUUACUGUUUUGGUUGAGGCCCUACAUUUUUUGUGAACUCACAAUAGCUCGUAUGAGCUUACCGAUAUUCAGCUCAGAAGAGCUUAUCGAUUAUUGCUCGUAAGAGUUUACAUGUAUAAGAAUUGAUGAAUUACAGUUUAGUACACCUCGUGUGUACCACCUGCAUAUCUAAAGAUAUUCUAAGUAGUUCAACGGGCAUAAUUUUAUUUUGAGAUUAUACAAGUUCGAUACGAACAAUUACAGGUAAAUUCGUGGAAGUGGUUGAUAGUGGUUAUAUGUUUAUAUGGUAUGGACAUUACAUGUACAUGAAAUUCAAUUAAUUGAUGAAUUCAUAUAUGAUUAUCGAUUUUAUGCGAAUGUGGAACUAAUGUGACUAUGGAUUGUGUGUUAGGCCAUGGCCAAAUUGAAUUAUGUCGUAUUUUGAGUUUCUUACUUAAUUUGAAGUCAAAUGGUAAGUUUAAUUCCGUAUCGUACGAACUUACUAAGCUUAAUUGCUUAUUCUGUUUAUUUUUCAUGUUUUAUAGUGUUUCAGAAUCUCGCUCGAUUUGGAGGUUGUCGGAGAUUGCGUUACACUAUCAAACUCAUACUUGGUAUUUUGGACUUUUAACAUUUUGGGGUCAAAUGGCAUGUAUAGGUGUUAUGGCUAAGGUAGAAUAUAUGUCUGAUGUUGUCUUCGUUAUGUAAUUAGCCAUGUGAUUUGGCUUAUUUUGGUAUAUUUGGAUAUGUAAAUAAUUGCAAAUGGCCUUAUGAUAUGAUAUGUAUAAUUACUAUGUGGAAUGUGUGGAUAGUACAUGAUAUGAGCUUGAUAUUGGUCGGUUUUAAAUGCCUAUUUAUGCCAUGAUUGCAUGCACAUCGUUGAGUUUAGAUUGGUAUUACUUUGGGUGAGAAAAUUAGCUUGGAAAGUAACUUAUUUUUGUCCACACGAGCAGAGACACGGGCGUGUGUUUCAGCUGUAUGUGACACACUGUUAGGUGACACGGCCGUGUAUCUUCUGAUGCUACAUUAGAAACUAAGUCAGCAGCUUCACACGGCCUAGCACAUGGGUGUGUGGCUUGGCCUUGUUGUAACGCCCCAAAAAUCUAAAUAUUAAUUUUUGUGUGUUGUGAUACAUAAAUACAUGUCUGCUUCAGUGGCUGAGUGUCUUGAGGAGUAUUAGAGAAGUCCUAGGUUCAAGCUUUGGCUUGUAAAAAUUUUAUUUUUGGCUUGAACAAACCCUGUCUCUUGACAGUAGGGUUCUUAAAUAAAAAUGGUUACGAUGUGUCAUAAAAUGCCUGAUGGUCUAGGGGAUAGAGGCAUGUGGAGUGUUUUAGGGGGUCUGAGGUUUGAGGCUUGAUAAUGCAAGAGGAGAAAAAUUUGCUGUUAACACUGGGGAGGUGUUGUUGUUUGACUGAAAUUGAAUGCUUGUGUGGUGGGGGAAGUUGAGGCCGAAUUCUAGGUGUGUGUUGGAGAGAAUUUCGGCUGGUUGAGAUAUGGUUAGGUAGGAUGUGGUUGAGAAAUAUUAGGAGUGAUAUGGGGAGAGAAAUUAGAAGAGUUUGAAGGGAGUGAGGAGGGUGUGCCGAAUGGGGACUCUGCCUCUAUGCAUUUUCAGUUUUGUGUUAUUGACUGAGGGUUGUGUUUUCGGUUCUUUUCUUUCCUAAGUCUAAUAUCACAUUUUAGGGCAUUCUCUUGCUUUUGAGUUUCUAUUUUCUCUCUUUUUGGGGCUGAGCUUUUGCUUUUCCUAUUGGUAGUGUCGAAACCAUUUUUUGAAAAAGGGUCGACUUUUAUUUUGAAAAUGAAAACGUAAAAACGGGAGUCACCGCCAAUCUUUUUUAUUUAGGUGCAAUCGGAUCACCUGGUAAUUCAGUCACUUUAACAAAAAUUUAAAUUUAUUAAAACGAUGAUUUUUUGGUCAAAAAAAUCUAGAAAACAGGGUCGGGAGUCGGUUACGCACGUGGAAGGGUUAGCGCCCUCGAUACUCCCAAAAUUGGUACCUAGUUGAUUAAUUAAUGUCUUGGUGUCGAAAAUUUGAGAACUUUGAAGAUUGUAAAAAUACGAUCCUUUGUUAAAAUAUUAUUUAAUUAAAUUUUUUUGAGAAAAUAAUGUAUUUCACAUUAAUCGAGGAAAAUAAUUAUGUACCGUAAGUUAGGAAACAAUAUCUUGAAUCCCUGAAACGAGGAUAAACACCAAAAAUUAUUUAUUUUGGAAGAUAUUUGAUUAUCUUGGUUUUAGAAAGAGAUCAUAUCCCGUAAGUUAGAACACGAUCUUUUCUUAAUUCUCGAAAUUAUUUUAAAAAAAAACUUAUAUGUUUUAAAAAGGGACUCGUGUUAGGGAACGACUUUUCAAAUCUCGAAAGACGGAAUAUCGCUUAUAAUAAUUUUUUAAACACAAUUUUGUGUAUCGAGUGAAGGUUAAUCCGAUAUGAUUUUGUAGUAAAAUGGAAAAUGAAUCACGGUGUUGGUAUGUGCAAAAUAAUAUAAAUGCAGUGACGAUAAUGGAAGGGGCAGGAACAAAUGGUAUAAAUAGAUGGAUUACAAAUAAAAUAAAAUUUAAAAAAAAGCUAAAAUUGUGGUAAAUAGGUACGUGAAUGAAUGGUGCGUAAAUCGAUUAGAUAAUAUGAUCGAUAAUAAAAUAAAAAUAAAUAAAAAAGAAGAAAUAAAUAAAUGAAUAACAACAAUAACAUUAAUAAAAUAGCAAAUAAUUCAAAGUUCAAAAUCAUAAAAAGAUAUAGGUAAAUUAAUAAUGCGAGUAUAUAAUAAAAUAUAUUUCAAAGUUUAAGUAAAUAAAAAUAGAAACAUAAUGAUAAUACCAUAAAUAAAAAAAUAGUAAAUAAUAAUAUAUUAAUAAGAAUUAUAAUAAUAUAUAUUAAUAAUAACAAAUAAUAAAAAAUAACAAUGGGUUAAUAAAGAUAAUAGUAAUAAUAGAGGUAAAAUAAAUAAAUAUAAUAAGAGUAAUAGUGAUAAUAAUACAAAAUAUAAUAAUAACAAAUAAAUAAGUAUAGAAAGGAAAUGUAAUUUUAAUGGUAAUAAUAAGGAAAAUAAUAACAAUAAUACAAUAAUAAUAAAGUAGUAAUAAAAAUAAAAAUAACAAUAAUAGUAAAAAUAUAAUAAAUAAUAGUAAAAGAAAAUAAAAAAAUUACUAAUUUAAUAAUAAAGUAGCUAAAUAACUAAACAUGGGACUAAAUUGAAUUUAAAAUAAAAAUUCGGGGUAAAUUCGAAACAAAUAUUGAAGGAAAUGGACCACAUUGAAUGCGCGAAUAAUAAGGGGGACUAACGGGAAAAAUAUCCCCAUCCUCCAAAACACAACACUUCACGUGGGACCAAAAUGAAAUCGAAACAAAAUUUCAGGGUAAAUUUAGAAACAACGAAAGAUUUAAUUGCAAACUAUAAAAAAGUGGAAGGACUUGCAGCGCAAUUACCCCCAAAAGUAAAAACACGCGGAUCCCCUUGGUUGGUCGGGUUAACACGUUGAUCAUGACACCAAUACAACGUUGUUUUGGUAUUAAGAAGGCCGGCCAAAAUGGCGUCAUUUCGAUCGGCUAUUUAAGUCAAAUUUUUUUAAAAAAAAUUCAUUUUUUUCUCCAUUUCUACCAAAAAAACGCAAAAAUUUUCUUUUGUUCUCUCUACAGGGCGCCGGCCGCCGGCCGCCGUGAAACUCCAAAAAAUGUAUAUAUAUUUUUAUUUUUUAUAUUUAUAUAUAAAUGAUUUUUAAAGAAAAAUAAAGAAAAUAUCAAUUUUUGCAUGUAAGUAGAUUCGAGAAGAAAAAUAAAAAAAUAAAAAAAGAAAGAAAAAGAAAAAAAAUAAAUAACAAUAACCUUUGCCCUUUUAUAACUUGGUUUUUUUUUCUCCAAGUCUGUUUUGUGGAUUUGCUAUUCGUGUUUUUAAAUCUCUUUUGUUUUUGUAUUUGAUGUCUCCCUAAAAAAAUACAAAGAUUAAAAGGCUUUAUAUAGCCAUUUACAAAGUAUUUUUUGUUUACCUACUUGUCAUUUCUUCUUUAAUUCUUGUAGGUGCAAGUGACGAGGGCGGUGGUGACACGACAGUGGCAGUGGCGGCAGAGGUCAGAAGACCUAGGUGCAGCGCACCUAGGGUUUGUUGUUUUUUGUUUCUACUGAUUAAUGUGGGCUGGCGAAGGUUGGGUUAAUAUUGGGCUGUCUGAUUUUGGUUUAAUUGGGUGGAUAGGUUUUGGGUUAGGUUUAGUUUAGGCUUUGGGUUUUGUAAUUGGGUUGUGUUUGUAUUGGGUAUUACGGUAGUUGGGCCUAGGUAGAAUUGGCCCAGAACAGCUGCCCCUCUUUGCUUAUUGUCGUGUAACGGGAAUGGAGCAAAGACUUUACAAGGGUCAAUUUUGCUCGGUCUCACCGAGUCUUGACCUUUUUUGGUGCUUCUCUUUUUAAGUAGCUUCAUUUCAGUCCAUUGCAUUUUGUUGCUUUGAUCCACUCCACCGCCACUUUAGAGAGAUACGACUUGUAGCUUCAAUCUACUCUGCUGCAAAUUUAAGGAUGUGAGAUUUGUGGUUUUUGGUUUAAUCUGACCUACUGCAACUUCAGAGGUAUAGGACUUGUCGCUUUAAUCCGCUCCACUGAAACUUCAUAGAGAUAGGAUUAGUAGCUUCAAUCUGCUCCGUUGCAACUUCAAGGAAAUAAGAUUGGUAUCUUCAGUCUGCUCCACUGCAACUUCAGGGAGAUAAGACUUGUAAUUUCAACAUGCUCUACUGCUACUUCAGAGAGAUAAGGUUUGCUAUCUUCGAUCUACUCCAUUGCAACUUCAGGUAGAUAAGAUCUAUUGUCUUCAGUCUGCUCCACUGCAACUUCAGGGAGAUAAGACUAGUGACUUCAAGCUGCUCCACUGCAACUUUAGGGAGAUAAGGUUUGUUUUGAUCUGCUCUAUGCAACUUCAGAGAGAUAAGAUCUGUAAUUUAUAGCUUUAAUCUGUUCCACUGCAACUUCAGGGGAAUAAGAUUCGCUAUCUUCAAUCUGCUCCACUGCAACUUCAGGGAGAUAAGACUUAUAACUUUAACCUGCUCCACUGCAACUUCAAGGAGAUAAGGUUUGCUAUGAUCUGUUCUACUGCAACUUCAGAUAGAUAAGAUCUAUAAUUUAUAGCUUCAAUCUGUUCCACUGCAACUUUAAGGAAAUGAGAUUCGCUAUCUUUAGUCUGCUCCACUGUAACUUCAAGGAGAUAAGACUUUAUCUUCAACCUGCUCCACUGCUACUUUAGAGAGAUAAGGUUUAGUGGCUUCAAUCUGCUCCAUUGCAACUUCAGGAAGAUAAGAUUCGUCAUUAUAACUUCAAUCCGUCUCAGUGCAACUUCAGGGGUAUGGGAUUUGUGGAUUCAUCGAUCUUGUUACAUCGUCCUCUGGGGAACAUGACCUGUAGAAUAGAUUUCAUGGGCCUAUGUUUAUGCCAAAUGAUUAGGAUGUCAUUAUCAGAAUGAAUCAAAUGCUCCUAACUAGAUGUGUAUGAAUGAUAUUUGUAUGAAUGCAAAAUGUCAUAAGAAUGAUCCCUUCUUAAUGUUUGGGUUGUCAUUACUUAUUGUUCAUCACUCCUAACUAGAUGUGUAUGAAUGAUAUUUGUAUGAAUGUAAAAUGUCAUGAGAAUGAUCCCUUCUUAAUGUUUGGGUUGUCAUUACUUAUUUUUCAUCACUCCUAACUAGAUGUGUAUGAAUGUUAUUUGUAUGAAUGCAAAAUGUCAUGAAAAUGAUCCCUUCUUAAUGUUUGGGUUGUCAUUACUUAUUGUUCAUCAAGGUUGUAUCAUUGACACAAUGUUCUGUCUUCUUGUUCAGCUGAUAUCUUUGAUAGAAAAUCUGAAGAAAUAGUCACACUUUAGACUCUUCUUUCUCAAAUAUUUCCAACCCUUAGGCUUGGUGAGUUUUAAAUAAUAGUCAUGUUUCAGGUUCCUGUACUAUUUAGAAGCUUCCAGAGUAAUAUGUAGAACUCCUUUUGUGAAAGUAUUAUUAGUCCAUUAAUUGUUAUUUCAAUGCAAAAUGCUUGAAAAGAUCAUAAUUAUGGACAAAAAAGAAAUUGAUUGGGAUCAUAGCUCGAAAUGAAUAAAUUAAUCAAAGAUAGCAAAUGCAAUAAGAAGGAAAUUGAUUGGGAGCAUAGCUCAAAAUGAAUACAGUAAUCAAGGAUAGCAAAUUCAAUAUGGGUAAGAUGAAAACUAGGUGCCCCAGAUAUCGUAGCCUGAGCUUCUCUGUACGAACUUCUUGAGGACCAUUUUGAGUUCGACAUGUGUUUAGGAGAUCGAUGCCCUAAGAUGUAGCAUGUCUCCUCCUUGUUAAUUCAGGUAUAGCAAGACUACCGCAUGCCCCACUUUUUAUUUGAAUUGCCCUUUACCGGUUUUCAAUUUAAAACCCUUUUGGUCUUAAAAUGCCCUUUGUAGGUCCCUUGGCCUCUCCUUUUUAUUGUCUUUUUUUUUUCUUCUUCUUCUUUUUUUUUGGAAAACUUUUUGACUGAAUCUGAAUUUAUCGGAUUAGGCAGGUUCUUGCCAUCCAUCUCGAUUAAAAUCAACGCUUUUCCAAAGAAGGCCUUCUUUACUACAUAAGGUCCUUCCCAGUUUGGCAUCCACUUUCCUCUAAAGCCCUUUUGUAUAGAAAGGAUCUUCUUCAACACCAGGUCCCCCUCGUGGAAUUCUCUAAGACAAACCUUUUUGUUGUAAGCUCGCAUCAAUCGUUUUUUGAUACAUUUGACCAUGAUGGUAUCUUCAAACUCGACUUCAAUGGGCAAAACUGCUUCCAUUCCAUAAACCAAUGAGAAAGAUAUUUCCCCGGCGAAGGUCUUGAAUGACGUUCGAUAAGCAUAGAGGGUAAGUGGUGAUUGCUUAUGUCAAUAUUUACAAGUCUCGGUCAUUUUCCCCACGAUCUUUUUUUGUUUUAUUUUUUUUACUACCUCUGCUGCACCAUUCAUUUUGGGGUGAUAUGGUAUCUAAUCUUAAACAGAUUGCAACCUUUUGAUAUCAUGCUAUUAUACAUUAUUAGAUAUGAUCUUUUUUUUUUUGGAAUUUGAUGACUGUCGACUUUGUGACAUUGGCAUAUGAAGCGACUUUCACCCACUUAAUGAAGAAUUCAACGUCCAUAAAGAUGAUGAUAUCUGCUAAGAGCUUGUGACGAGAUUAACCCAAUAACAUCCAUGCCCCACAUAGAGAAAGUCUAUAAAGAAAUGAAGGGGACACAUGAAUUUUGUCUCCAUAAAUUUGGCAUUUACGGCAUAACUGAUGCGAUCCCCUUCCACAGUGGACCAGCAGUACCCGAACCUUAUGAUUUGCCUGGCCAUUGUAAAACCAUUAGCAUGUGUUCUUCAGACACCCUUAUGGACCUCUUCUAAGGUUUUCUUAGCCUUAACAGCAUUCACACAUCUUAGUAGCCCAGGCGUAUCUUGAUACGAUCGUGCGAAAACAUCUUUGAAUUCUUGGAAUAACUCAAUGACGUCUCGCUUUAUCUCUAUGGUGAUAUAGGCUUCGAUCUUCACCUCUUUCUUUUUCUUUAGGCUCGCGUUGUCCAUUAACCCUUUGUAAGGUAGGAUCUAUUUUUCAUCUUGUUCUACUAUCCUUAACAAACCAGGAGAUAGGCUACAAUCUCUACCAUCUUCAAAGUCUUAGGAUUCCUCUAUACACAUAUCUUGCUCAAAAGGAAACUCUAGGUCAGUAGUAGUGUCGCUUAUGUCGUUGAUAUCUGGAGACCUAUUGUAGGUAUGAAGGAAUAUUCCAAAAAAAAAUAAUCUAAGAAUAGUUAUUUAUGGUAUGAUCAUGAAUAAAAGAAUAUUUGAAAGAGAGUCCAAAAGACAAAAGAAUCUAAGAAUAAUUAUUUGUAUAGUAUGAUUAUGAAUAAAAUGGAACAAAUGAAAGAAUAUUAGCUCAAAAUGAUAGCAAAGAUGCAUUUUAUUGAAAUAAAGAUUUUGAACAUAAGCCUAUUUCACAAAAGAAUUCUCAUCACUCCUAAGUUUAGAGCAAUAAAUGUGUUUUGAACAUUAUUCUGAGUUAUCUCUAAAAAUACAAAGAUCUUUCCCAUAGCCCCGUUAUUCAGAACACUUCCAAAUAUGUCUGAUAAAUUGUCUUUUCCAGAUGCCUCUUCCAAUACUGUAUUCAGAUUCCCCAGCAUUCCUUCUGGGCCUUUGACUUCUUCAAAGAAUUUCAACUUUUUAUUAUUCGUUACACUCCGCACUAAAACUUUGAAUUCAGCGCACUACUGGAUUUCGUGACCACCUUCAGCAUGGAACUCACAGUAACUCUCGAUCCCUUUGGCUAUCUUCCCCGAAUUCUCAUAUCUAUCAUUUAUUUCAAAACCUAUUUCAGUGUGGGUUUCUACCUCUUCCUCCACUCUCAAUUAUCAGAUUUACCCAUUGGGUCUGGAUGAUCGGGUAACGGAUUUCCUACCACAUUAGGUCCUGAUGGAUCAUCAAACUUCAUGAUGCCCAUCUUGAUGAACCUUUCGAUUAACUUAUUAAAUGUGGUGCGUUCUCAAUUGAGUGCCCCGUUAUUCUUGCAUGGUACUCGCAUUGAGCAUUCGCAUCAUACCAUUUUGGGAACAGAGGUUGUAUGGGUUUCGAGUAGAAAGGGAUACCACAUGUGCAUCAAACAGAUUUCGAUCCAGCUCUUUAUAUGACAUUGGGAUGAGUGUAAACUGGAGUCUUUUUCUGUUCGCCUCGAGUUGGAUUCUUACUUGAAGGGGCCUUGAUAGCUAGUAGUUACGACCAUCGGCUGGCCUACAGUGAUCGGUUUGGAAUACCAUUUGCUCAUAUUAUUCAGUUCAUUUUCAUUUUUCUUUGGGGUUGACCUCUUGGCGCUUUGUCUCGCGUCUAUCUUCUCGUUCCUGAUUGCGUUUUCAAUCAUCUCGCUAGAUAUUACUACAUCUGAGAAGCUCAUGAUAACGCUUCCCAACAUAUAGGUAAUGAACGAGGCUUUUAGAGUGUUGACGAAAAGUAUCGUAGUUUCUUUCUC
rnacentral:lncRNA from 1 species